rnacentral:rRNA from 1 species
UAUGACGGGUAUCCGGCCUGAAAGGGUGAUCGGACACACUGGAACUGAGACACGGUCCAGACUCCUACGGGAGGCAGCAGUAGGGAAUAUUGCUCAAUGGGCGAAAGCCUGAAGCAGCAACGCCGCGUGGAGGAUGAAGGUUUUAGGAUUGUAAACUCCUUUUGUUAGAGAAGAUUAUGACGGUAUCUAACGAAUAAGCACCGGCUAACUCCGUGCCAGCAGCCGCGGUAAUACGGAGGGUGCAAGCGUUACUCGGAAUCACUGGGCGUAAAGAGUGCGUAGGCGGGAAGGUAAGUCAGAUGUGAAAUCCUGUAGCUUAACUACAGAACUGCAUUUGAAACUACUUUUCUAGAGUGUGGGAGAGGUAGGUGGAAU